UUGGGUGGUGCCAUCUCUCCUAUACCUCCAUGAAAUGGAUUGGGGUGGUGCCAUCUCUCCCAUACCUCCAUAGAGGGUGUCCAUGAAAUGGAUUGGCGUGGUGCCAUCUCUCCCAUACCUCCCAUGGAUGGUGUUCAUGAAAUGGAUUGGGGUGGUGCCAUCUCUCCCAUACCUCCAUGUAAUGGAUUGGGGUGGUGCCAUCUCUCCCAUACCUCCAUGGAGGGUUUCCAUGAAAUGGAUUAGGGGUGGUGCCAUCUCUCCCAUACCUCCAUGGAGGGUUUCCAUAAAAUGGAUUGGGGUGGUGCACUUUAUCUGCCGCCUUAGAGGCUGUGUAAGUUGGAUUUGCCCCUCCCGUGGUGGUUUGCUGAAGGUCCUUUGGAUCACUUUCCUGCUUAUGACGCCACAUCUAAAUAGUGAGAGUGGAAAUGUAUCAGGAUGAUGGUAUUGGGUGGGUGAUUGGUGUUGGUUUUGGAAAGUCCACAGCCCUUGGCAUGCACCGGUUUGGGUUGGUGGCCACGCCAUAGACCUGAGCAUGCCAGAACAGAUUGAUGGGGGGCAGCCAUUCACUGUUCACGUUUGACUUGGAUUGGUGGUGGGGGGGACGGGGGGCGGUGGUUUUUAUGUCUCUCUACUUUGAUGUGCAUUUAGCUUCACUUUCCGAAGCGCAGGUCCUCCUCACGUAUUGCGCUCUUUGAAGGCGGCAGUCACUUAAAUCCGCCACGAGACACAAUAUUUUCCGCGUUCAGUCAGCCGUGUCCUGAAGCCCAUUCAGGGUCUGCCAUUGUUUUGCCCAUAAAAGAACCCUCUUCCCUCGUCUCGCUCUCAGGCCCCGGCGGAUGAAUCUGAUAAAUCAUGACAGGUCUAAAAAUAAACUCAUCCGGUCCUUUUCAACAAAGUUCCACAUUCACUCCACGAAAAAAUGCCUUUCACAAGACCCCCUCCCCCCUUUCACAAGACCCCCCUCCCCCCCGGUGCCCAUCAGAGCCGGCCUUCUAUUUAAAGCUUCCUCUGUUUGUUUUUUUCUGUCCUUUUGAAUUGAAGAAAAAAAAAAAUACCCAAUUUUAAAAAUCGCUGGUGGCUGCGGAGGAAAGAUCGCCAACGCACAUUAGAUGGUUCAGUGUUCCCGUGCGUCUUUUUCUAGAAAUGUUUUUAUUUUCCAGAUAUAGAGCAAUAAAAUUGUCUGUGCUUCGAAUGUAAA